GUCACCGCAGCUCAGUAUGGGGGUAGCCGAUCGGCUCAUAAUCCCUCGGUCACGGGUUCGAGUCCCGUCCGCCCCACCA
rnacentral:tRNA from 1 species